AUUGGCCUGAUUGUCAGAGCUCCCAUGACAGUUCACUCUCUUGGGAGGCUGGUGUGGGGCUCUGCUUAUCCAAGGGGGAGGUCAAGGCCUCCUUGGCAACAGGGAAUGAGUUGCAAGGGAGUUGUGGAAAGAAAUUCUGUUCAAUUCAACCUGUAAGUAGAUCUGGGCAUAAUGGCCUCAUCUGGCUCCUCUAAGUCUCUCUUUCCCCCUUCUUUUUUCAGGGCAAAUCUUAUCCCUAACUCUUUCAUUAUUUGCUUGUGGUUUCCUUGCCAAAGAUGCGUGGAGACUGUGAAAUGGCACCAGGGAGCACUUUCAGCAACAGGCAGAACUGUGUGCAUGUGCCGGACCAGACCUGAAACAUUUGUCCCUUCAACCUGUCAUCCUUCUUCACGUUAACCGGCAGCCGAGACGUUCUGACAGGACACCACCAGGAUGCCACCCAAGAAAGGUAUUUCAAAAUAAAGACCUGGUUGUAGGAUACUCUACCUUUCUUAGGGAUUGGGCACUUUGAAAAGUUUGUUUCACAAUUUUUGUUUCCUCUUUGGGGCAUUCCCCUUUCUAUUUUUUCUGUGGGGAGAGUCCCUUUGUUUCUUGAGAGAUUGGGAAGGGUUCAAUAUUUCUUCAACUUCUUUUCUUUAAUGGAUGUAUGAUUUCACCAGCUAGUAAGUGCUUGAACUUACCUUUCUUUCAUUUAAGAAGCUAAUGGGGGAAAGCAAAAUACACUGAUAUUCCAGUGCAGCAACUCCUACUUGGGGUUUAGUCCAUAGCAGUGACCUCUUGUCAGAUCGGUGUGUGGGCCGAGUUUGUGAGGGAGACCUGUCCUGCUUCAAUUUGUGAAUUAGAUACAGUUCUGAAUUAAGUAAAGCUGAAGAGUAGAGGAAAGAGGAUUAAGGCAGAGAAAGCUAAGAAGAGAGACAUAAAACCCUAUGGGGGGUAUUUAUGUGAAGUGAAGCAAUGUGAUGAAACAUUCUUGGUACCUGUGACUUGUCACAGAGGUGCAUUUUCAGUACUAUGGAGAUAGUGGGUGGCAUAUUCAGUUGUCAUUUUGUGAUGCUAAUGCAGCUUACUUUGGAUCUGUUGUCAUCCUCAUUUCAGUCCCCAAAAGACAAACUGGUAAAAAUUUUAAAUAUGGAAAACCUGGAAAUGGAUAUUUGCUUUUCAGCCUAGAACUUCUAAUCCAAAUGGCCUUGGUCUCUGUCGUUCCUUUAGCUGACUUAUUUAAUCUUAGAACGGAAAGUGGAGACAGAGAUCUCAUGUAGAGAUAAUCAAGUCACCCAGGCCUGUGUCUUGAGAAUCUGAGCAGUAUCCUAUUUAAUAUGCUCAGUUAUCUUAUGGACUUCAAACAUCUGGGCAGUCUUAGGAAUAUUAUUAUCAAAACAGGUCAUUGCUUUUAGAAAACAAAAACAAAAACAACCUCUUCUUUUGAGGCUCAACAUACUUUUCCAAAGAGGCUAUUAGAAAUAGCUCAUAGUUGUGUAUUAGCUUUUAAUAGGUGGGGUUGGUUUUCCAUUAAUAAGUGUAGGGUUCAAAUUUUAUAUAAGAUGUUCAACUUCAGCACCUUUAGGGUGUUCCAAGCUGGGGUCCUCAAACUCCUCAGGCUAUUUGGUA
rnacentral:lncRNA from 1 species